rnacentral:misc_RNA from 1 species
CGCGCAAUUUUUUGUUUUUUAAAUCAAAGAUACAAGCACUAAUUCACCUACAUAAGAAAAUAUUAAUUCACUCCACCAUUAGCAAAGCUAAAAACAAAAACACAACUGCAACCAACAAUAAAAAUUGAUGGUUCUGGCAGGAACAUCAUAACUGCACUAAGGCAAUGCUCAUAGGAAACCAUUUAUUUCCCAAAGACUGCAAAAGAAAUCUCCCUCUUGCAGUUAAGAGCCCUCUACCGUAUUGCAAGCCCAAGUCAUGCAAAUUCCCUCCAGUGAACCAUUUAAUCAAAUGUGCUUCUGUAGCAGGGCAUGCAAAACAACAAAAACAGUAUCUCCAGAUUUAAACUUACCAAGCCCACGUCUGAAAGGCAAUUGCCACGCUCAAGUUGAGCAAAUACAAUUAAAGUAAAUAAGAGAAGUACAUUCUGAACCAGUAAUAACUAGCUACAGGGCAGUACAUUGAUGGUGACAACUUCUUAGCAACCAUUUUCAUCCCCAAACCUUCCAUUCCCGCGAAAAUUGUUGUUGUUGAAAGAUCGUGGACCACGAGAACUAUCUUGGGCAUAACUCACUCGAAUGCUUCGUCCUUGUAAUUCCUGGCCAUCCAUUGCUGACAAUGCUGCACUUGCAGACUCAUCGUUUGAGAAGUCAACAAACCCAAAUCCCCUUGACCUCCCAGAAUCUCUAUCAGUGAUAACCCUUGCACUAACCACGUCACCAAACCCAGAAAAAGCAUCCUUUAGAGACCGGUCAUCAGUCCCAUACGAAAGACCUCCCACAAAAAGCUUGUUUGAUGACAUGCAGCGAAUAGAAUUCAACAUAGAGGCCAUUUGAACUUGGCCAUUCUGGGAAACGCUCUGCCUCACCAGGCUACCAAAUUUGUUACAGAAUGCCAUUUAUACCCACUUUGAGAAGAAAAUCUAAAAAAUCUAAGAGAACGGCUAGGGUUUAAGAGCUGAGUAGGAUCGAGAGGCUGGGAAAAUAUCUUCCAGUAUUUUAUAGUCA